GUACCGUGAGGGAAAGGUGAAAAGCACCCCGGGAGGGGAGUGAAAUAGAACCUGAAACCGUGUGCCUACAACAAGUUCGAGCCCGUUAAUGGGUGAGAGCGUGCCUUUUGUAGAAUGAACCGGCGAGUUACGUUAUGAUGCGAGGUUAAGUUGAAGAGACGGAGCCGUAGGGAAACCGAGUCUGAAUAGGGCGCCUUAGUAUCAUGACGUAGACCCGAAACCAUGUGACCUACCCAUGAGCAGGUUGAAGGUGCGGUAAGACGCACUGGAGGACCGAACCAGGGCACGUUGAAAAGUGCUUGGAUGACUUGUGGGUAGCGGAGAAAUUCCAAACGAACUUGGAGAUAGCUGGUUCUCUCCGAAAUAGCUUUAGGGCUAGCGUCGACAUUAGAGAUUCUUGGAGGUAGAGCACUGUUUGGGUGAGGGGUCCAUCCCGGAUUACCAAUCUCAGAUAAACUCCGAAUGCCAAUGAAUUAUGGUCGGCAGUCAGACUGCGAGUGCUAAGAUCCGUAGUCGAAAGGGAAACAGCCCAGACCACCAGCUAAGGUCCCAAAAUAAUUGUUAAGUGGAAAAGGAUGUGGGGUUGCACAGACAACUAGGAUGUUAGCUUAGAAGCAGCUAUUCAUUCAAAGAGUGCGUAAUAGCUCACUAGUCGAGUGACCCUGCGCCGAAAAUGUACCGGGGCUAAAACAAUUUACCGAAGCUGUGGAUACCUUUAUAGGUAUGGUAGGAGAGCGUUCUAUGUGUGAUGAAGGUAUACCGUGAGGAGUGCUGGAACGCAUAGAAGUGAGAAUGCCGGUAUGAGUAGCGAAAGACAGGUGAGAAUCCUGUCCACCGUAAGACUAAGGUUUCCAGGGGAAGGCUCGUCCGCCCUGGGUUAGUCGGGACCUAAGGAGAGACCGAAAGGUGUAUCCGAUGGACAACAGGUUGAUAUUCCUGUACUAGAGUAUGUAGUGAUGGAGGGACGCAGUAGGCUAACUAAAGCAGACGAUUGGAAGAGUCUGUCUAAGCAGUGAGGUGUGAAUUGAGUCAAAUGCUUAAUUCUAUAACAUUGAGCUGUGAUGGGGAGCGAAGUUUAGUAGCGAAGUUAGUGACGUCACACUGCCAAGAAAAGCUUCUAGCGUUUAAACAUACUCUACCCGUACCGCAAACCGACACAGGUAGUCGAGGCGAGUAGCCUCAGGUGAGCGAGAGAACUCUCGUUAAGGAACUCGGCAAAAUGACCCCGUAACUUCGGGAGAAGGGGUGCUGACUUUAAGUCAGCCGCAGUGAAUAGGCCCAAGCAACUGUUUAUCAAAAACACAGCUCUCUGCUAAAUCGUAAGAUGAUGUAUAGGGGGUGACGCCUGCCCGGUGCUGGAAGGUUAAGAGGAGUGCUUAGCGUAAGCGAAGGUAUGAAUUGAAGCCCCAGUAAACGGCGGCCGUAACUAUAACGGUCCUAAGGUAGCGAAAUUCCUUGUCGGGUAAGUUCCGACCCGCACGAAAGGCGUAAUGAUUUGGGCACUGUCUCAACGAGAGACUCGGUGAAAUUUUAGUACCUGUGAAGAUGCAGGUUACCCGCGACAGGACGGAAAGACCCCAUGGAGCUUUACUGCAGUUUGAUAUUGAGUGUCUGUACCACAUGUACAGGAUAGGUAGGAGUCUAAGAGAUCGGGACGCCAGUUUCGAAGGAGACGCUGUUGGGAUACUACCCUUGUGUUAUGGCCACUCUAACCCAGAUAGGUGAUCCCUAUCGGAGACAGUGUCUGACGGGCAGUUUGACUGGGGCGGUCGCCUCCUAAAAGGUAACGGAGGCGCCCAAAGGUUCCCUCAGAAUGGUUGGAAAUCAUUCGCAGAGUGUAAAGGUAUAAGGGAGCUUGACUGCGAGAGCUACAACUCGAGCAGGGACGAAAGUCGGGCUUAGUGAUCCGGUGGUUCCGUAUGGAAGGGCCAUCGCUCAACGGAUAAAAGCUACCCUGGGGAUAACAGGCUUAUCUCCCCCAAGAGUUCACAUCGACGGGGAGGUUUGGCACCUCGAUGUCGGCUCGUCGCAUCCUGGGGCUGUAGUCGGUCCCAAGGGUUGGGCUGUUCGCCCAUUAAAGCGGCACGCGAGCUGGGUUCAGAACGUCGUGAGACAGUUCGGUCCCUAUCCGUCGCGGGCGUAGGAAAUUUGAGAGGAUCUGCUCCUAGUACGAGAGGACCAGAGUGGACUUACCGCUGGUGUACCAGUUGUCUUGCCAAAGGCAUCGCUGGGUAGCUAUGUAGGGAAGGGAUAAACGCUGAAAGCAUCUAAGUGUGAAACCCACCUCAAGAUGAGAUUUCCCAUGAUUAUAUAUCAGUAAGAGCCCUGAGAGAUGAUCAGGUAGAUAGGUUAGAAGUGGAAGUGUGGCGACACAUGUAGCGGACUAAUACUAAUAGCUCGAGGACUUAUCCAA
rnacentral:rRNA from 1 species